UUUACAAUAUUACUGACUAAUACCAGCAGUCCACAAUCCCCACACCCGUCUUCCCUUUUCUCUUUGCCAAAUCUCAAAUUCUCAAUCUCAACCCUACUGACUAACACCAACAGCGCAGCUGAUUCCUGUUCCACUCUCCAGUCUCCACUCACCAGCAGCGCAAAGAUUAAUCUCAUUUUUUUCUUUACUUUGUUUGCCUCUGAUUUGAUUGUCUCUACUCUCUCAUCUGAUUUUGCUUGCCAUUGUAAAUGCUGGAUUCCCUUCUUUUCUAGAUAGUGGCCAGUUAAAUAAUCUUGAACUUGUUGUUAUUCUUCUUGGUGCUGAAAAUCUGGUAAACACAUUACUUGCUGUUAAUUUCGGUUGGACAUUUUCUCUCCCUGUUUUCCCUUUGUUUCGAGUCCAUCUUGUGGUUGCUACAUGGAUAGAGUUCAUGAGGGAUUUUUAUGGUUUAGAGAUGGGCAUGAAGAGAAAAAAUAGUUUGUUAAACAUCUAAGAUUAAGGGAGAUGCGGGCACUGUCUGUGGCCCGAUGUAAUCUUGGUGAUCUUUGCAAUUAUGGAACCUACAAGUAUGUAGGCUCGUCGUGUUUAGGAAUAAAUUGUACGCCCUUUCAGUUGGUGUUUGUUCCACUUUUCUGAGGAUCAUGAACCUCUUAAGAUGCUCAUAAACCUCAUUGAGAAACAGAAUGGCUCGAUCAGAUCUUUCAUAUAAUUGCUAAUCAAAUGUCAGAGUUCAGCGAAUUCUUGAUCUUCUUUCUGUUUUUUUUUAGCAAAUUAAUAGCCUUUUACUCGUGACUGCAUGCAUGAAUUACUUGUAAUUUUGUGUUUCAAACAAAACUUUCUGUGAUAGUACAGAAGACCAACUGAGGUAAGAGGUUGAUACACUGGGCUACAUUUCAUAAAUGCAGCACUCACCGUUCAAAAAUUAUGUACAAGGAAACAACAGCUAGAAUGUUUACUUUGACUCUAAAGUUGAUUUGAUUUGGUUUUGGUAAUAAUGUAUUCAGCUAGAAUGUAUUCAUCACCUCUUUAAAGAUUGUUAGGAAGAUUGUUUUAGGUCCUGGUUGUUUUUCUUUUCUUAAGCUGUUUGUACACAAAAGAGGGUAUGUUUAUUCCUGGAUAAACAUUGUUGCUACUUGCUGCCAUGUUGUAAUUAUUUAAUUUAAUGCAAAUGUCAAUUAUAUUGAGAA